rnacentral:lncRNA from 1 species
UCCGAGAAGGUUGAUUCAAUCCGAAUGGACUCGAGGAUUGCUAAAAGAAAAACAUCUCACUAUAGUCAACACUAUAACUUUAAUGAAAUCCUUGGCAAUCAGACAGAAUUAAUAGGUCUCCACCUUUCCGUCUGCACCUCUUAUCCAUUUAAAAUCUACUCACACCCUAUGAAUCUUACCCAUUCAGAUGAAUCAACAAAUGUCCAUACAUCGUCGAUCUUUAUGGAUUUUAUUUUAGAUUUAAUGGCUCUAAGCCACUUCUCAAAGUUAGAUCUCUGUAUAGCAUCCAUAUAGGAGAUCAAAUCUCCAUCCCGAACCUAGAAACCGAAUUGUCUAUUCGGUUGACAUGGUAUUCUACUAUAUUUACUCAAGGAUGCUUUUACAUCGGACUCCGGAUUUGAUCUAAUCAACUCUGAUUCUGUUGGUUUGUGUCAAAGUCAUUUCCUUUACCUAUCAAGCUUC